rnacentral:rRNA from 1 species
ACUCCUACGGGAGGCAGCAGUGGGGAAUAUUGGACAAUGGGCGCAAGCCUGAUCCAGCCAUGCCGCGUGAGUGAUGAAGGCCUUAGGGUUGUAAAGCUCUUUUGUCCGGGACGAUAAUGACGGUACCGGAAGAAUAAGCCCCGGCUAACUUCGUGCCAGCAGCCGCGGUAAUACGAAGGGGGCUAGCGUUGCUCGGAAUCACUGGGGCGUAAAGGGCGCGUAGGCGGCCUUGUAAGUUGGGGGUGAAAGCCCGUGGCUCAACCACGGAAUUGCCUUCGAUACUGCUUGGCUUGAGUGUGGUAGAGGUUGGUGGAACUGCGAGUGUAGAGGUGAAAUUCGUAGAUAUUCGCAAGAACACCGGUGGCGAAGGCGGCCAACUGGACCAUCACUGACGCUGAGGCGCGAAAGCGUGGGGAGCAAACAGGAUUAGAUACCCUGGUAGGAUAGCG